rnacentral:rRNA from 1 species
AUGAGUAACGCGUGGGAACGUGCCUUUCGGUUCGGAACUAACCCAGGGGAAACUUGGGCUAAUACCGGACUACGCCCUUCGGGGGAAACGAUUCAGUAUAGCCGAACAGAUCGGCCCGCGUCGGAUUAGCUAGUUGGUGGGGUAAUGGCUCACCAAGGCGACGAUCCGUAGCUGGUCUGAGAGGAUGACCAGCGCACACUGGGACUAGAGACACGGACCAGACUCCAUACGGGAAAGCAGCAGUGGGGAAUAUUGGACAAUGGGCGAAAGCCUGAUCCAGCCAUGCCGCGUGGGUAGAAGAAGGCCUUAGGGUUGUAAACCCCUUUCAGCGUGGGAAGAUAAUGACGGUACCCGCAGCAAGAAGUCCCGGCUAACAUCCGUGCCA